AAUACUUCUCAGCCUUUUGGCUAAGAUAAAGUGCUGUAUCUAUCAGAUAAAGAUAUCCUUUAUCUGAGGAAAAUAUAUUACAUGAUUUUUUUUUGGAUCAGGGAGAUGGAAUAGCUUGCUCUGUCCACUCCAUGCAUGAAUCUUGUAUUACAGGACCACUAGGAAUGGUGCCUUCAUU
ensembl:snRNA LOC120099502 U2 spliceosomal RNA